rnacentral:lncRNA from 1 species
GCGCCGAUUUUGAAAAUUUUCAUUCAUUCAUUUGCGCCGAUUUCAUUUUUUCAUUUGCGCCGAUUUUAUAUUUUUUCCUAAUUGGAUUUACAGGUAAGUUACAGGUAAAAUCAUACUUUUACAUUGACUGAUCACAGAGUAUAAAGACAAAUCAAGUGACAUUGCAAUUGGUAAAUGGCUAUCCCAAUGUUUCGGGUAACCAUUCCUUUUCCUAAAUGAAAUCGAUGACUGCUUCACAUUUCACAUUGUCUGACACUCC